UCAAGAAGGACGGCUCAGUGACAAAUCAGGGAACAUCAAGCCAAGUCUUUCGUCUUCAGCUUUUAUUAAGAUAAGGAUUCGAAUGGCUAAUAUGAUUUUCAGCGGGCCCAACACGGUGGAAAAACAACGGACUUUGUGAGUGGUUGAGAAGUUACGCAGAAACUCCUCCUACAUUAUUGGCUGUUCAAUACACUAUUAUUGGGUCAUCCCUUUCGGUCUUUGAUUGAUUCUGUUCAUCUUGAUCAUUUGAGGAAGAAGUAGAGAGAGCUAGAGCUACACAGGAAACUAACAUGGCUUUGGCCUUUGUGGCUCAGUCCGCGGCGUCGGUGGUAAUCGAGAAGCUGAUCGGCGCGGCCGUAUCCUUCGUGGGGGAGUGCGGCGCCGGGCUGAGCGCCAUGCAGGACGAGAUCCAGAGGCUUCGUCAGGCUUUUCCACGGAUUCGAGCGAUCUUGACUUUCGUCGAGGAGGGGCAGACUGUCACUACGAAGCAAAACGAGGGUCUGGACGCCUGGCUGUGGCAACUCAGAGAUGCUGUCGAUCAGGCGGAGGAUGUGCUUGAUGAGAUGGAGUACUACGAGCUGGAGAAGGCAGUGAAAGCUGGAGAUAACAAAGUACGACAAGGUACUGAACUCAACUUGAAGAGAAAGUUUACUGAGUUUGCUAACAAUAUCUUUGGAAAUGACGACACUUUGACGAGGUUGAGGGGGGCCGUGAAGGCGUUAGAUCAUGUUGCUGCUGGUAGUGAGCCUUUACUUCACCUUGUUACGCAGCUAUACAAUUCGGAUGUUAAGCGUCAACAGGAAGAUGAGAUACGAAAUGCCCGUGAGACUAGCUCCUUCUUAACUGAGGAUACAAUUUGCGGUCGAGACACGGAGAAGGAAAGGAUAGUUGAAUGGUUAACAAAACCGACAAGCGAUGAGCCGGAGAAUGCUUCUGCAACUGUCGGUGAGGUCUCGGCUUUUGCGAUCGUUGGCAUGGGUGGGUUGGGAAAGACCACUCUCGCGCAGUUCAUCUACCACGAUGAAAAAGUGCGGAAGUGCUUCGACUUGGUUUUGUGGGUGUGUGUUUCCGAUCAAUUUGAUGUGGCUAUGCUGACAAGAAAGAUCUUGGAAGCGGCGAAUGUUCGGGAGAGCCUUGGCGACAAGAGCCUUAAUACAAUUCAAGAGAUUCUUAAAGAAAAGCUGAUCUCCAAGAAGUUUUUUCUUGUACUAGACGAUGUAUGGGCUGAUAAAAAAUUUCUUCAAUGGAAGAGUUUGGUGAGUCCUUUAAAAUUUGGACAACAUGGAAGCAAGAUUCUGUUGACAACUCGAAUGGAUUCAGUGGCGGACACGGUAGCCAGUAUUCUACGAUGUAAAAAAGAGUCUUUAACAUUAACUGGGUUAGAAAAAGUUGAUUUUAUGCGUCUUUUCAAUACGCAUGCAUUUGCUGGAACGAAUAUUGAUGAUCAUGGAAACUUAAAAUUGAUUGGUGAGCAAAUAGCAAAGAAGCUUGGGGGAUGCCCAUUGGCAGCAAAAAUUUUGGGCGGAUGUUUGAACUCUUGCAUGGAUGAAAAAUACUGGACAAGAAUUUUGAAUGAAAAUUUUCUAAAUUUGCAAGAAAGUGAGGACAACAUUAUGAUGAUUCUGAGAUUGAGCUAUCAUCAUCUGCCGACAAGCUUGCAAAUUUGCUUUAGAUACUGCAGUAUAUUUCCUAAGGAUCAUCUGUUUGGAAAGAAUGAGCUUGUCCGUAUGUGGAUAGGUUCUGGGUUAAUCAAGCAACCAAUGCAUGAAAAGCGAAGUUUAGAGGAUAUGGGAGAGGAGUAUUUAAACCAUCUGGCAAGGAAAUCCCUUUUUGAUAUCCAUCUAAGCCCGGGAUUUUAUGUCAUGCAUGAUCUGUUGCAUGAUCUAGCUCAGCUUGUCUCUUCAGGGGAAUGUUUGGGAAUUGAAGAUGAUGGUUCUAGAGAUAUUCCCGAAACAAUCCGCCACUUAUAUGUCACCAGGGAACCUGUCAACAAGGUAAACCCUCUUAUGAUCUCCCAUCUCAAGAACUUACGCACCCUUAUUAUUCAUUUAGCCGACAGUUUCUCUGUAGUAGAUUUUAAUAAGGUUCUAAAAGAUUUAAAAAGCUUACGCUUUCUAGAAGUGACUGCAGCUGACUAUAAGUUUCCAGAUGAAGUUGGUAAACUCAUUCACCUCCGCUACCUCUCCCUCUCUUCAUGGAGUGACAGAGAAAAUGAGAUAUCUAUUCUACCUCAAUCUGCGUGUAGACUCUAUCACCUAGAAGUAAUGCGGCUUCCGGCACUGACAAUAGAUGAUUCGACAUUGGAUGGAAUGAGCAAUCUAGUUCAAUUGAGGCUUCUUUAUUAUGCUAAAAUGGACAAGAUUCCUUGGAUUGGCAAAUUAAUAUCACUUCAGGAGUUAGGCAAUUUCUGUGUCCGUGAGGAGCGCGGCCAUAAGAUAGAUCAAUUAAAAAACCUGCAAAGCCUCCGAAAAUUAGGCAUUACGAGUCUGGAAAAUGUAACGAGUCCCGAAGAGGCUGCAAAUGCCAACUUGAUUGAGAAAAAAAAUCUUGAUGAAUUGUCACUCCGUUGGUCUACGAAUCGCUCUGGUGGUCUAGAGGUAGAUGAGCCACUUCUUGAUAAUUUAAGACCACAUACCAAUCUCAAGGAACUAGAAAUUGAAGGAUAUGCCGGAGUUAGAUCUCCAUGUUGGAUGAUGGAGAAAUCUUCUCUUUCUAAUAUAAGGUCUAUCACACUAUCCAACUGUGAGAGAUGGGAGAACCUCCUACCUUUUGGGCAACUUCCUUUGCUUAAGUUUCUUCGUUUAAAAAGCAUGCAGGCUGUAAAGAAAUUAUGUUGUCCAAGAAGUGUUGGUGGUUGCGCCUUUCCAUCACUAGAGAAGCUAUACUUGAAGAGGAUGCCGGACUUGGAGUUGUUCGAAGGCGAGCACAUGUUCCCUCUGCUUAAUGAAUUGGAAAUAGAUUCUUGUCCUAGCUUAAAGGGUUUGCCUGCUUUGCCUCUUACUCUAAGUCGGCUGGUUAUUGUGGAGGCCGGAUUGACUUCUCUUCCGAUGAUGCAACAAGAUUGCAGUAGCAGCCAAGGACGAGCAUCGUGCUCAUCAUCAUCGCAUCCUGCACUUUUUAAACUAAGCAUUUGUGAGUGCCCAAACCUCACAUCUCUAGAUGGAUUCAUGUUACAACAACAAUGUUUUCCAGCCUUGAAGAGUUUAUACAUUGUUGGAUGUGAAAAUCUAAGGCAUUUGCCGGAAAAAUUCUUCCAAAAACUUCCCUCCCUCGAGGAUUUGACUAUAAAAAAGUGUCCCAAUCUCACGACACACGGGAUUCUAGACGAUCGAUUGCCCGAGACACUUCGACAACUCGCCCUUGUAUCAAACGACGAUUUCGAUUUGCCGCUACUGGAGUCAUUGCCAAAAUCGAACAAUCUACACUCCUUGGAUAUUAGUGGAUGUGCAAGCAUGACGUCCCUUCCUACGUCGGAAGUUUUUCCAAGGUUGUCGAAACUCUGGAUCCGGAACUGUAAAGAGCUGUCGUCAUUGGAUAGGCUACAAGCUCUCCUCCCGCUCCAAUCCUUGUGGAUUGAAGGAUGCGACAAGCUCGUCGAACUUUCACUGUUGCAACCACCAUUAGGCCUCACUAAUACCAGCCCCACAGAUAUGGUGCUUCGUGAUCUUUAUAUCGACCGGCCAGCUCUGUUGCGCGUCGAACCAUUGCGAAACCUCAACAACUCUGUUAGCCAGUUGCGUAUAAGUGAUGGCACCGAACUCACAUCCCUCGACGAGCAAUGGCUGUUGCAAAACCGAAACUCCCUCCGACGCUUAGAUAUUCGUAAGGCCUCGUCUCUUGAAUCCUUACCGCCCAGUAUGAUAGAUCUUCAAUCCCUGCAUGAUUUGGAGAUACACGAUGCUCGUUUGCUGCGAUCGAUUCCAGAACUGCCCACCUCAAUGAAAUAUCUAACAAUUAACGGUUGUUGCUCGGAAUUGAAGGAGUACAUUGAAGGCUCUGGAAAAUUCGCCAAUAUUCGUCGGGUGCAGGUUAUUGAAAAAUCUUCUUAAGAAAAAGAUCGGCUUGGGCUCUGGUCCCCUUCAAAUUACAUUCAAGCCGAACUGAUUGCAGAACAGAAAAUAUGAAAGCAUCGGUGAAUUUCUGCUUUGACAAAGUUCACCUUUUAGAUUUGUUAGCUUGCUUUCUUCUGCAGUUGGCUUUAGCGAGCAAAGCAUGAAGCAGCUCUUUCUGUGCCGAUUCGAGCUAUUUCCACCGUUAUUUGUUCGCGCCUGUUGUUGCUAGCAUAAUAGAUGUACUACUAAAAUAUUAAAAAAGGAAAUGUAGUGGAAGUGAUUUGUAUGUUGUAAUACUACACUGAAAAACCGAAAGAUGUCGACAGUUGCUUCCGAAUGAAGUUGUGCUGUUUUGUUAAUUUAGUCAUUUUGAUUUACAAUAAAUGUAGGACUGAGAUGUUUUC